UACGGGGGGGCAAGCGUUGUUCGGAAUUACUGGGCGUAAAGCGUGCGCAGGCGGCGCGUUAAGACAGGUGUGAAAGCCCCGAGCUUAACUUGGGAAUUGCGCUUGUGACUGGCGUGCUGGAGUGUGGCAGAGGGAGGUGGAAUUCCACGUGUAGCAGUGAAAUGCGUAGAGAUGUGGAGGAACACCGAUGGCGAAGGCAGCCUCCUGGGCCAGCACUGACGCUCAUGCACGAAAGCGUGGGGAGCAAACAGG
rnacentral:rRNA from 1 species